ACGUUAAUAGUAUAUAAGUAGAAUAUUUGCCUUUCAAGCAAAUGGCCAGAAUUCAAUUUUUGGCUUAACGCA
rnacentral:tRNA from 1 species